AAUAAAAUAAAGAAUGUGAUAUAAGUUAUGUGAUUGAACUUUUUAUUGUAAAAACGGCAGCGGGAUUAUUUAUUGAAUAAAAUCAUACAGAAGCAAACCACAACCAAUGAACGAACCCUUCUCCCCACCUCUGGCCGAAACCCUAAACCCUUUCAACUUUCCUAAUCACUUAUUUACGAUUCUAUUCAACAUUAUUCUUCGUGGCUGCAAACGUCGAAUGUGGGUGAAGUGUGUUUUCGUCUGUGUUUAUUUUAUGACUAUGGAAGUGGUUAGUUAUUUCUUUUCUCUUUUUCUGGAUUUUCUUAUAGUUUUUUUAGUCAGUAUUCAAGCAAGUCCAGCCUGGCAGAGAAACAAUCACAUCGUUUUUCCGAACUCGCUAGAAGAGCAUGAAACUUUCAUUGCUCCAAAGUGUAGCGGUAACAAAACAUUUUGUGAGGACGUCGGACAUUACCCCAAAAAUAAAUUUAGCGUAAUAUUAGAAAACACCACAUACGGGGAAGAUUAUUUCAUGCCGCAAAGCACCGCCGAGGAAGAAUCUAUCAAAAAUCGAUUGUACGGAGUAACUGAAUAUUACAUCUGCAAUUCUCACGUCCAAACGCAAUAUCCCAAAGUGGCGCAAAACGUCAGAAACGAGUGGAAAUAUGUUUACAAUUUUGAUAACUACAAGCAAGGCGUAAGGACAGAAGAAUGUGUAGCUGAAACAGCUUGCAGAUCAUUCCAGGGAACGCCGCGGGAAGUUAGGACGAAGUGUAUGCAAAAGUACAGCGAUAUGUUGCUGUUGGUUGCCGAUGAAUACGGAAAACCUGUGUGGGAUUUAUUCUGGUUUCCUUCCGCCUGUGUCUGUGCAUACGAACCAAUUAUUAAUUUUAACCGAGUUUAGGAGAGUUUGCUGACAACUAAUUUUCCUUAAAUUGCGAUCAAUAGACGUGUCUUUGAAGCUGAAAUGUUAUACCAUUUCCCGGUACAAUAAAACUUUGAUUCUAUA